UACGGGGGGAGCAAGCGUUGUUCGGAUUUACUGGGCGUAAAGGGCGCGUAGGCGGUCGUGACAAGUCACUUGUGAAAUCUCCGGGCUUAACUCGGAACGGUCAAGUGAUACUGUCGGACUAGAGUACAGAAGGGGCAACUGGAAUUCUCGGUGUAGCGGUGAAAUGCGUAGAUAUCGAGAGGAACACCUGCGGCGAAGGCGGGUUGCUGGGCUGAUACUGAGCUGAGGCGCGAAAAGCCAGGGGAGCGAACGGG
rnacentral:rRNA from 1 species